rnacentral:rRNA from 1 species
UGGCUCAGGAUGAACGCUAGCGGCAGGCCUAAUACAUGCAAGUCGGACGGGAUUGAGAAGCUUGCUUUUCAUGAGAGUGGCGCACGGGUGCGUAACACGUAUGUAACCUACCUUAUCCAGGGGGAUAGCCUCUCGAAAGAGAGAUUAACACCGCAUAACAUUAUUGAUCAGCAUUGAUUAAUAAUCAAAUAUUUAUAGGGAUAAGAUGGGCAUGCGGGACAUUAGCUAGUUGGCGGGGUAACGGCCCACCAAGGCGACGAUGUCUAGGGGAUCUGAGAGGAUGACCCCCCACACUGGUACUGAGACACGGACCAGACUCCUACGGGAGGCAGCAGUAAGGAAUAUUGGUCAAUGGGCGAAAGCCUGAACCAGCCAUGCCGCGUGCAGGAAGACGGCCCUACGGGUUGUAAACUGCUUUUGCAGGGGAAUAAACUUUCGUAUGUAUACGAAGCUGAAUGUACUCUGAGAAUAAGGAUCGGCUAACUCCGUGCCAGCAGCCGCGGUAAUACGGAGGAUCCAAGCGUUAUCCGGAUUUAUUGGGUUUAAAGGGUGCGUAGGCGGCCUAUUAAGUCAGGGGUGAAAGACGGUAGCUUAACUAUCGCAGUGCCUUUGAUACUGAUGGGCUUGAAUGGACUAGAGGUAGGCGGAAUGUGACAAGUAGCGGUGAAAUGCAUAGAUAUGUCACAGAACACCAAUUGCGAAGGCAGCUUACUAUGGUUUAAUUGACGCUGAGGCACGAAAGCGUGGGGAUCAAACAGGAUUAGAUACCCUGGUAGUCCACGCCCUAAACGAUGAACACUCGAUGUUAGCGAUAUACAGUUAGCGUCUAAGCGAAAGCGUUAAGUGUUCCACCUGGGGAGUACNCCCGCAAGGGUGAAACUCAAA